rnacentral:rRNA from 1 species
AUUGAACGCUGGCGGAAUGCUUUACACAUGCAAGUCGGGCGGCAGCGCGGGGGCAACCCUGGCGGCGAGCGGCGAACGGGUGAGUAAUACAUCGGAACGUGUCCUUAAGUGGGGGAGUAGCUCGGCGAAAGCCGGAUUAAUACCGCAUAAGCUCUGAGGAGGAAAGCGGGGACUGGUAACGGCCUCGCGCUGUUGGAGCGGCCGAUGUCGGAUUAGCUAGUUGGUGGGGUAAAGGCCCACCAAGGCGACGAUCCGUAGCUGGUCUGAGAGGAUGAUCAGCCACACUGGAACUGAGACACGGUCCAGACUCCUACGGGAGGCAGCAGUGGGGAAUUUUGGACAAUGGGGGCAACCCUGAUCCAGCCAUU